rnacentral:rRNA from 1 species
CCAGACUCCUACGGGAGGCAGCAGUGGGGAAUAUUGCACAAUGGGCGAAAGCCUGAUGCAGCAACGCCGCGUGAAGGAAGAAGGUCUUCGGAUCGUAAACUUCUGUCCUUGGGGAAGAUAAUGACGGUACCCUUGGAGGAAGCCCCGGCUAACUACGUGCCAGCAGCCGCGGUAAUACGUAGGGGGCAAGCGUUAUCCGGAUUUACUGGGUGUAAAGGGAGCGUAGACGGUCCUGCAAGCCAGAUGUGAAAGCCCGGGGCUCAACCCCGGGACUGCAUUUGGAACUGUGCGGCUAGAGUGCGGGAGGGGCAGGCGGAAUUCCUGGUGUAGCGGUGAAAUGCGUAGAUAUCAGGAGGAACACCGGCGGCGAAGGCGGCCUGCUGGACCGCGACUGACGUUGAGGCUCGAAAGCGUGGGGAGCGAACAGGAUUAGAUACCCCAGUA